rnacentral:lncRNA from 12 species
UCAAAGUGCCACGUGUACUCAUUUCUUGAGCCCUUACAGGGAUGUUUACUCCACCACUGCCCCAGCCAUCCCCUUCCAGUGCUUGACCACUGCCUCAGUGAUGAAAUUUUCCCCAGAUCCUUGAUUAAAGCACUGGUAAAGGAUAAAUCAGAGCUUUUGUCUCUCACUGCAGCUUCAGGAGCGUUGCCAAGCUGUGAGGUAGUGCCUCUAUCUCCCAGAGAGGAUUAGUGGGUGCAUCUGAACACAUCAGCCUUUGGAUGCUACCAGCUGCUCAUGGCAAGUCAGAAAAGCUGGAAAUCUAAUAUAAAGGCACAUUCUACAACCAAAAUCCUGCAGAAGCCACCUCUGCACACAGCUUUGUCCAUUACCCAGCCACAGAGUUUGGAAAUAAAUGAUACAUAAUACUGGAGGAAAAAUGUGUUUAAGUAAUGCAAAGGGACAGCAACAGACAUUUGUGUCGAAAACAUCGCUAAAGAAAUACGAUCACAUUUAACACUUUUGGUUUGGGAAACAUGUUAUUUGCAGAGUUUCUUCACUCUCCAUAUUGACCUCGCAGGAGCAUCAGCUGAAUUCUUUCUUUUUUAUAAAAUAAUUGGUGGA